UCACAUCUUGCGAUGGCAGUCCCGCCAGAGUGCCCAGCAUUACCUGAUGGCAACUGACAGCAAGGGUUGCGCUCGUUAUGGCACUUAAGCCGACACCUCACGGCACGAGCUGACGACAACCAUGCAGCACCUUCACAGCAGCCCCGAAGGGAAGGGACAUCUCUGCCCCAUGCAGCUGCAAUUCAAGCCCGGGUAAGGUUCCUCGCGUAUCAUCGAAUUAAACCACAUGUUCCUCCGCUUGUGCGGGCCCCCGUCAAUUCCUUUGAGUUUCACCGUUGCCGGCGUACUCCCCAGGUGGAAUGCUUAAUGGUUUCCCUCAGUUCCUGACUGUAUAUCGCCAAGAACCAGCAUUCAUCGUUUACUGUGCGGACUAC
rnacentral:misc_RNA from 1 species